AUAAAAGAGGAUCUAAUUACGAUUACAAACCUUCCCAGACGAGGGGACUUUCAAGUAAACUAGAUUAAUUCUGGAUCAGGAGAUAAAACAAAAAAUCUCCUACUGUAGGUUCUUGAUAGCUGGCACCGCUGCCUCCCCCAUAUGGCACUAUCCAGCAAUGGGACUGUAGGAGGAAUUCCGGCUAGUGCCCAAACAGACUUUAUUCAUCCCUUCAACAUUCACACCUGCCAGACAUUGUAUGGGAGAUGCAAGAGCAUUUAAAGUCCCCAACCUCAGCGAGCUCAUGAUACAGAAGCAGCAUGAAAAGGGUAACUUAACAGAAAAACCCUUGCACAAAGAAGGACUACCAGGAAAAACACCCCAGAGACAUGACACUGAGCUGGAUCUUGAACGAUAGGAGGAUCUUGUCGGAGAAAGAAAGGCCCAGGGAGAGGUCAAAGCUACAGAAGGGGGAAGAGUGCCACAGUCCAAACACUGUAAGUAAGGUGGAUUAGGAAAACUAAUGGGUAGGUGUGGUGGGAGAUAAGACAGGGGGCAGGUACGUGCCAAUUUAAAGGCAGCUGGGUAUGAGUUCAGGAUUUUAUCCAGAAGACAAAUGACAUUGAAGGAUUUUAAACAGAAUAGUGACAGAAUCUGGUUUAUGUUUUAGAAAGAGCCAUUUGGCUUCAAUGCUGAAUCUGAUUGGAGCAGGGAAGAUGCUAGAGAGAUGGAGAAAAUCAGACUGGAGGCAAUUACAGUAAUCCAGGGAGAACCAAGGCAACAGCCUUGUCCUUCACAUACACACCUGCUCUUACAACAAGAAGGCUAAACCAUCUACUCUUUUACGUACGGGCACGUGCUCAGCCCAACAACUUCUAUGUACUGGCAGAUACUUCACCUUUCCUAGGACCAUGUGCUGGAAGAAGACAGCAGGACCAGGACACCACAAACCUACCAUCCUCAUUAGCACAAGUCUCCUCACUACAAGUUAUUUUAAAGAGGGGCCCAGAUUCAUGAGGAGAGCCAUCUAGUGUGACCCCUCUACUUGGUGGGGGAGUACAGGGCAAGAUGAGAUUUCCUCCAUCCACAUGUCCUCAAUACUAUGCACCACACCAAGUGUUCCCUACUCUUUUCCUACCACUCAUACACAGCCCCCAGCACCAUUGUGAAAACAUCACUUGGGUUAUAUAGAAACAUUUCCAAAACCACACCUACUCUCAGAGCUCUCACCAAUGGGGCAGGUAAGUGGGUACUGAUGAUGGAGCCCAAGCACCCAGCUCUCACACUGGCAGAGAAAUGCACUCCAACGUGUGACUGGGGGAAAAGUUAAAGGAGGAAUUUAGGCAAGUCUCAGCAACGGGUACCAAUUUUAGUUUACACUGAAAGGUAACUUGAGUGUUUCUGAUGAAUGAUCCUCUCCUUCCCACCCUCCCCUAAGUUGUAAUAGGCAUUUUAGGCUUGUCCCAACUGUUAGGCAAGUCUGUUUAGAACCAAACUUACUAAUCCCCAUUUCUAAUGAGGAGACAGGAAAAAAAUGUAACGAGGCUAAUUUGUGUUGUGGGGUGUUUGACUUCUGAGGCUAAGGGAAAUGUAUCACAAUUUCAUAAUCGCACUCUGUUGAAAUAAUUUCCUUUCACAGGAUUCAGAAUGUCAAAGAAUUAGAAUGGUCUCAUACCCAACAAUUUGGAAACUCAAGAUCAUUAAAUAAAGGACUUGAAAUCAAAAA